rnacentral:rRNA from 1 species
AAUAGAUACCCCGGUAGUCCACCCCGUAAACGUUGGGAACUAGUUGUGGGGUCCAUUCCACGGAUUCCGUGACGCAGCUAACGCAUUAAGUUCCCCGCCUGGGGAGUACGGCCGCAAGGCUAAAACUCAAAGGAAUUGACGGGGACCCGCACAAGCGGCGGAGCAUGCGGAUUAAUUCGAUGCAACGCGAAGAACCUUACCAAGGCUUGACAUAUAGAGGAAACGGCUGGAAACAGUCGCCCCGCAAGGUCUCUAUACAGGUGGUGCAUGGUUGUCGUCAGCUCGUGUCGUGAGAUGUUGGGUUAAGUCCCGCAACGAGCGCAACCCUCGUUCUAUGUUGCCAGCACGUAAUGGUGGGAACUCAUGGGAUACUGCCGGGGUCAACUCGGAGGAAGGUGGGGAUGACGUCAAAUCAUCAUGCCCCUUAUGUCUUGGGCUUCACGCAUGCUACAAUGGCCGGUACAAAGGGCUGCAAUACCGUAAGGUGGAGCGAAUCCCAAAAAGCCGGUCUCAGUUCGGAUCGGGGUCUGCAACUCGACCCCGUGAAGUCGG